UGAGUAACCUGCCCUUAGACUCUGGGAUAAGCGUUGGAAACGACGUCUAAUACCGGAUACGAGCUUCAGUCGCAUGACUAGGAGCUGGAAAAGAAUCUCGGUCAAGGAUGGACUCGCGGCCUAUCAGCUAGUUGGUGAGGUAACGGCCCACCAAGGCGACGACGGGUAGCCGGCCUGAGAGGGUGACCGGCCACACUGGGACUGAGAUACGGCCCAGACCUCCGUACGGGAGGCAG
rnacentral:rRNA from 1 species